rnacentral:rRNA from 1 species
AAACUAACAAGGAUUCCCCUAGUAACGGCGAGUGAAGAGGGAAGAGCCCAAGAUUGAAAGCUGGCGUCUUCGGCGUCCGCAUUGUAAUCUCAAGAAGUGUUUUCCGCUUCGGACCAUGCCUAAGUCCCUUGGAAAAGGGCAUCAUAGAGGGUGAUAAUCCCGUACAUGGCAUGGAGCGCCCGAAGCUUUGUGAUACGCUUUCUAAGAGUCGAGUUGUUUGGGAAUGCAGCUCAAAAUGGGUGGUAAAUGCCAUCUAAGGCUAAAUAUUGGGGAGAGACCGAUAGCGAACAAGUACAGUGAUGGAAAGAUGAAAAGAACUUUGAAAAGAGAGUUAAACAGUACGUGAAAUUGCCAAAAGGGAAGGGUAGGAGGUCAGAGAUGCGGCCUGGGAUUCAGCCUUGCUUUUGCUUGGUGUUUUUCCCAGAUUGCAGGCCAACGUCGGUUUUGGGCACUGGAGAAGGGUAGGAGGAACGUGGCACCUCUCGGGGUGUGUUAUAGCCUCCUACUGGAUACAGCGACAGAGACCGAGGUCAGCAGCGUACUCGCAAGAGCGGGCCUUCGGGCACCUUUACGCUUAGGGCGUUGGCAUAAUGGCCCUCUACCACC